UACGUAGGGACCAAGCGUUGUUCGGAUUUACUGGGCGUAAAGGGCGCGUAGGCGGCCCUCUAAGUCAGACGUGAAAUCCCUCGGCUCAACCGCUGGACUGCCUUCGAGACUGCCUGGCUUGAGCAUGGUAGAGGCUGGCGGAAUUCCCGGUGUAGCGGUGGAAUGCGUAGAGAUCGGGAAGAACAUCGGUGGCGAAGGCGGCCAGCUGGGUCAUUGCUGACGCUGAGGCGCGACAGCGUGGGGAGCAAACGGG
rnacentral:rRNA from 1 species